GUCUAAAACGACUCUCGGCAACGGAUAUCUCGGCUCUCGCAUCGAUGAAGAACGUAGCGAAAUGCGAUACUUGGUGUGAAUUGCAGAAUCCCGUGAACCAUCGAGUCUUUGAACGCAAGUUGCGCCCCAAGCCUUCUGGCCGAGGGCACGUCUGCCUGGGUGUCACAAAU
rnacentral:rRNA from 1 species